rnacentral:rRNA from 1 species
CCUACGGGUGGCUGCAGUGAGGAAUAUUGGUCAAUGGGCUUACGCCUGAACCAGCCAAGUCGCGUGAGGGAAGACUGCCCUAUGGGUGGUAAACCUCUUUUGUCAGGGAGCAACGCCGGCUACGUGUAGCCGGACUGAGAGUACCUGAAGAAAAAGGAACGACAAACUCCGUGCGGGCAGCCGCGGUAAUACGGAGGAUGCGAGCGUUAUCUGGAUUGAUUGGGUGUAAGUGCUGCGUAGGCGGAAUGCCAAGUCAGCGGGAAAAUCGCGGGGCUCAAGCUCGCUCCGCCGUUGAAACUGGCGUUCUUGAGUGUGUGAGAGGUAUGCGGAAUGCGUGGUGUAGCGGUGAAAUGCAUAGAUAUCACGCAGAACACCGAUUGCGAAGGCAGCAUACCGGCGCCCAACUGACGCUGAAGCACGAAAGCGUGGGUAGCGAACAGGAUUAGAUACCCGGGUAGUC